rnacentral:rRNA from 1 species
GGCGCACUAAACCCAAAGGCGCAAUGAAAGUGAAAGGCUCGGGGUUUCUUCUCCGAGCCGGGGCCGAUCCUCGACCGGCCGAUGCCGUCGCGGCCGCACCAUACCAAAGCGGGGCCCUUAGGCGGCGCGCGGAGUGAGACCCUUUCCUCCGUUUCGCGCCGCUGGUCCCGUGGGCGGCUCGGCGCGCUCGGUGGUCCGACCUCGGUCGCCUGUACGCAGGGGGGCGCAGGCCCGGGACUUGCCAUGCGACGCUGUCGCGCGAAUCUGUUGUUGACCUCAUCGGCUCUGCUUGGGCUCUCGUUUGGCGCGCCGCGUGUCUGGGCGGGUUUUGGGGGGGGGCCUCGGCUCCUUCCCGGGCUCGUUCGGCGCGGUUGCGCCUUGCGAUCCUGCUCUGUCCGGAGUGGCCUAGCGCGCGUGCUGUCGGCAAGUACCAAGAGCAGACAUGUUGGGACCCGAAAGAUGGUGAACUAUGCCUGGCCAGGAUGAAGCCAGAGGAAACUCUGGUGGAGGUCCGUAGCAAUUCUGACGUGCAAAUCGAUUGUCA